ACUCGGAAGGAUCAUUA
rnacentral:rRNA from 3 species